GACGAACGCUGGCGGCGUGCUUAACACAUGCAAGUCGAACGGAAAGGCCCUGCUUUUGUGGGGUGCUCGAGUGGCGAACGGGUGAGUAACACGUGAGUAACCUGCCCUUGACUUUGGGAUAACUUCAGGAAACUGGGGCUAAUACCGGAUAGGAGCUCCUGCUGCAUGGUGGGGGUUGGAAAGUUUCGGCGGUUGGGGAUGGACUCGCGGCUUAUCAGCUUGUUGGUGGGGUCGUGGCUUACCAAGGCUUUGACGGGUAGCCGGCCUGAGAGGGUGACCGGCCACAUUGGGACUGAGAUACCGCCCACACUCCUACUGGAGGCAGCAGUGGGUACUAUUGCACCAUGGGCGGUAGCCUGCUGCAGCAACGCCGCGUGCGGGAUGACGGCCUUCGGGUUGUAACCCGCUUUCGCCUGUGACGAAGCGUGAGUGACGGUAAUGGGUAAAGAAGCACCGGCUAACUACGUG
rnacentral:rRNA from 1 species